AUACGGAGGGAGCGAGCGUUAAUCGGAAUUACUGGGCGUAAAGCGCGCGUAGGCGGCUGUGUAAGUCGGAUGUGAAAGCCCAGGGCUCAACCCUGGAAUUGCAUUCGAUACUGCAUGGCUAGAGUAUGGUAGAGGGAAGUGGAAUUUCCGGUGUAGCGGUGAAAUGCGUAGAUAUCGGAAGGAACACCAGUGGCGAAGGCGACUUCCUGGGCCAAUACUGACGCUGUGGUGCGAAAGCGUGGGGAGCAAGCAGGAUUAGAAACCCGAGUAGUCC
rnacentral:rRNA from 1 species